GGUCUGUACUUGGUUUCGACAGGUUUGAACAGGUUCUGAACGCAGUCGUUGAUCACGUUAUAAUCAAAUUAAAUAAUCAUUGCCAAAAACAAUGUUAAAUUCUUCCCUACUACCUCCAACACCAUGUUGGCAGCUGCUUACUAAUUAGUAACGAUUCAGCUCAGGGCAUAGCCCGGUAGUAUAACUUAACUGGUUCUUAUUUAUUUAAUCAGUUAAGGAGAAACCUAGAAUAAAUCCGAAUUUGAAGAGUCUUUAAUUCAAGUUUGAGUAUCUUAUAAGACAAAAAUUGUAAGAGACGUUUACUUCUCUUGCUCUUAUUCUCAGUAAACUAAACUGUAGCUGGUCAUUAUGAGUUCUUAUUUGGACAGGAGUUCGACUCUCCUCAGAUCCAU
rnacentral:tmRNA from 1 species